GCUAAUUGCCGAGGUCCUCUUCUAGGAUUGGUUGUCCACUCAUAACCAUAAGAUAAUUAAAACGGGGGGGGGCAGGGUAAAAAAAAAACCCUUUUAUCAGCCAUAGGUUAAUGCAAGUGUUUAACAGAUGCUUCGCUAUUAAAAUAUUUCCCCCCAAUACUGAAGAAUCUUAAACCAGGCUAGAGCGCCAGCGCUCCUCUGACCCGGCACACUUUGGCAAAGUUGCAGUGGCCUGUUUGCUUAGGCACUGAAGUGGAUGACCCAAGUUAGGAUGACAACUUGCAGAGAACGCGGAUGAGACCUUCAGUUUGUGCCCACACUCAUUUGCAGCAACCCUAACAGAGAUUGCGAAGAUUUUCAAAGUGGGGCACCUCGAUUUCUCGAAUCUGUGGUGUGGCGAAUAUCCGUGUUCCUCCUGCUUAACUAGCCUGUUUGAAGGCACAGUUCAUUCUCGAGCAAUUCGUCACCUCCUGGGGGUCUUCUCUUCCCGUCUACAGGAGAGUGUGACUUCAGAAAGAACUUCGGAUUGGCCAAGGCAGGUCUGAUUCUAUUUAUUCUAAAGACAGAGUUGGAGAUGGGCUACCAUUGGUGUUGAUUGAGAUGACAAGCAGUCACCUGAGCCCAUACAGCUGUGGGAGAAAGUGCUUGCUGCCAAGCUUGAUGACCUAAAUUGAAUACCUGGAACCUACACGACAGAAAGAGAGAGCUGACUGCUGAAAGAUGUCCUCAGAUCUUCACAUGUGCACAGUGGCACCUAUCCAACCAUGCACAUAGUAUAUUAAAAAUUAUUUUUUAAAAAAUCCA
rnacentral:lncRNA from 1 species